CCUACGGGUGGCAGCAGUGAGGAAUAUUGGUCAAUGGACGAGAGUCUGAACCAGCCAAGUAGCGUGAAGGAUGACUGCCCUAUGGGUUGUAAACUUCUUUUAUAUGGGAAUAAAAUGUUCCACGUGUGGGAUUUUGUAUGUACCAUAUGAAUAAGGAUCGGCUAACUCCGUGCCAGCAGCCGCGGUAAUACGGAGGAUCCGAGCGUUAUCCGGAUUUAUUGGGUUUAAAGGGAGCGUAGGUGGAUUGUUAAGGCAGUUGUGAAAGUUUGCGGCUCAACCGUGAAAUUGCAGUUGAAACUGGCAGUCUUGAGUACAGUAGAGGUGGGCGGAAUUCGUGGUGUAGCGGUGAAAUGCUUAGAUAUCACGAAGAACUCCGAUUGCGAAGGCAGUUCACUGGACUGCAACUGACACUGAGGCUCGAAAGUGUGGGUAUCAAACAGGAUUAGAUACCCUUGUAGUC
rnacentral:rRNA from 1 species